CUUCAUGAUCGAGUGAUAACAUGUUGCUUAACAGAUUGCGAAGCCAGGUAGUAGAACAACAAACAUUUCUCAACUGUAUUUCUUGGAUGGAGGACGGCAGUGGGAGUUAUCGAGGAGUGUUGAUUUUCCAGACACCAGUCCUGAACGACCUUUGCUGCAAACGUCGACUUUCCCGUGCCUGGUUCGCCUUAAAAGUCACAUAAGCCUGAGGACUUACAUCAUCAAGCAUGACGACGGAGCCAAGAAGCAUGUCUAAAACAAAAUCUAGCGGAACGAUUUAUAAUUCAGAUAAUGACUUUCCCCUUCACAAACAUCCAAUCCCGCACAAAGAUCCCUACACUCCAGAGUGUC